GUGGGAGAGACACACUCUCUUUUCCUCUCGCAAUGAUCAGGGACAGGCUGGCAGGAGAACUUAAUCUUUGAAUUUUCCUCUUUAAUUGGGUAAGACUAAAAGAAUAUUAUAAUAAGGUAACUAAUAGAACCGCUAUUGACAUUGUGUGGAUAGGGAAGAGGGCUAGUCAGCUGUCCAGAGAUUCUUAUAUUCCAAGUUAUCUUAUUAUUAAUUGGCAUCACGGCUCCGUAGGACUUGAUCACUCCUUAAGGCUCACUCAAAAGCAAACACUGUCGGGAGAGGCAGGACAUAUCAUUGAGGCAGGAUUUGGAACCGCCUGUAAUGUGGCUAGCAGUACAACUACGAACCGUGCCAAAGCAGAGAACAACCAACAACCAGCAAAGAGAAAGCAGGUCAACAGGAAACAGAUACGGUGUAUCUGUUUAUUGUCUGUAAACAUGGAAGUGUCAGGGCUGCUGUUUCAGCACCCUGAGUCCAGCCUGUGUGUGUGUGUGUCAUGAGUGCUUUGCAGGGUUGACGUGUUGGAGUCUAGCAGCUGCACUUUGUCAUCCUAAUUACAUCUGACUGCUCUUAAGACGCUUUGGGACGCCAACUCGUCGCCAGACUAUCAACGCUCUACGUCGAGUUUGUAGCCUAGCCACCUUGCCAAUCUUUUUUGCUUCCCAAAGACCUCGUGAGUUUAUCUCUACCUCAUUCUUGUUCUUUGUCCCCAGUCUGCCAUCUGCCCUUGCUCCCUGCAAACCAGUGCUCACCUCUUGCGGCCCACCGACAACCUCUUGCGGCCCACCGACUCCUACCCUGCCAGACCGGUCCUCGUUGGAACCCUGCCAAUCCCAGAAUUAGUUCUCGGAGUUCCUUUGUUCACUUCCAAGCUGCAAUAAACCUUUGUUCACAAACUCGCCUCCGUGUCCUCGCUGCAUCUGGGUCCAACUUGCAACCUGACAUGGCUGCCGCACCUGGUCCACAUCACAGGCAGGGCUUUUAGGCGCGAGGGAAACAGGAGGCAGAUGCUGGUCAAUUGUUUACUAUCCACCUGUUGCUUUGUGCUUGUGUAUCCUCGUUGUGUAAGAUUCAGUAAUGCUGUUUUUCCCCCUUCUCCGUUCUCGGUCGUUUGUAAGUAACUUUUGUUCUCAUGCUUUUAUUUGCUCAUCUUGUGUAGCUUAGCUUUUUUCUCUCUCUCUUUGUUAGUCUCCUGAUUUAGGCUCUGUACUUGUGUAGUGUAGAUUGAGUAGUAAGGUUUCUUGGUAAGGUUUGUUGUUUCCUUGCAUCUUUUGCACACUUUAAGUUUGCAGUGUUUAUAUCCUUUUCGGCUACCUAAGUACCUAAGUUAGUUUUCUUGUUGCACUUUUGUUCACACAAUUGCUUGGUGUUCUAUUAGCAUUUGCCUCUGGGUGCACUCCAAUCAUCGUCUGUUUUGU